UUGUUCUUGAUUCGUUUAAUUCCAACAGUAAGGUUCUUUUCUGCAGGGUUGUGUGAUGUGGAUCAACUAGCAAGGUUGGGAAGAAGGAAGUUGGAUGUUUGUUUGGGUGUUGGAUGAGUUUUGGAAGAAAAGGGUGAGGGUUUUGAUUUGAGACAAGAGCUCUGAUUAGAGGACAUACAACACGAUCUACAUUGGAGG